rnacentral:rRNA from 1 species
GAUGCACGCUGGCGGCGUGCCUAAUACAUGCAAGUCGAGCGAAUGGAUUAAGAGCUUGCUCUUAUGAAGUUAGCGGCGGACGGGUGAGUAACACGUGGGUAACCUGCCCAUAAGACUGGGAUAACUCCGGGAAACCGGGGCUAAUACCGGAUAACAUUUUGAACCGCAUGGUUCGAAAUUGAAAGGCGGCUUCGGCUGUCACUUAUGGAUGGACCCGCGUCGCAUUAGCUAGUUGGUGAGGUAACGGCUCACCAAGGCAACGAUGCGUAGCCGACCUGAGAGGGUGAUCGGCCACACUGGGACUGAGACACGGCCCAGACUCCUACGGGAGGCAGCAGUAGGGAAUCUUCCGCAAUGGACGAAAGUCUGACGGAGCAACGCCGCGUGAGUGAUGAAGGCUUUCGGGUCGUAAAACUCUGUUGUUAGGGAAGAACAAGUGCUAGUUGAAUAAGCUGGCACCUUGACGGUACCUAACCAGAAAGCCACGGCUAGCUACGUGCCAGCAGCCGCGGUAA